UGGCAGUGUGGUUAGCUGGUUGUGAUUUUUUAGACGCUCAACAGCUCACUCAACUGCCAAG
rnacentral:pre_miRNA from 1 species